UCAGGAUGAACGCUGGCGGCGUGCUUAACACAUGCAAGUCGAACGAGGGUUGCUGGUUGAAGUUUCGGAUGGAAACCGGUAAGUUCCUAGUGGCGGACGGGUGGAGUAACGCGUGGGGAACCUGCCCCGCUCCGGGGGAUACCAGCUGGAAACGGCUGUUAAUACCGCAUAAGCGCACAGUAUCGCAUGAUGCAGUGUGAAAAACUCCGGUGGAACGGGAUGGCCCCGCGUCUGAUUAGCCAGUUGGCAGGGUAACGGCCUACCAAAGCGACGAUCAGUAGCCGGCCUGAGAGGGCGACCGGCCACAUUGGGACUGAGACACGGCCCAAACUCCUACGGGAGGCAGCAGUGGGGAAUAUUGCACAAUGGGGGAAACCCUGAUGCAGCCGACGCCGCGUGAGUGAGGAAGUAUUUCGGUAUGUAAAGCUCUAUCAGCAGGGAAGAAGAUGACGGUACCUGCACAAGAAGCCCCGGCUAACUACGUGCCAGCCGCUGC
rnacentral:rRNA from 1 species